UUUUUUUCUUUUUUUUUAAUGUGGACUCUGAGAUCUUCCCUUGGGAAUGAGCAUUUUAGACACCCUAGCCCUGGAGUCUGACAGUAGGAGAGCUGGACCAAUUGACUGACUUGAAAACUAGUAGAACUGACAUCCAGGCUGUAAAAAACCUAGACUUCAUUCAUGAAGGGCUCACACACAGUCGCUCACUCCUGAAACAAAGUGGAAGCAGCAGAUUGAAACUGCCCAGGACUCUGGCUGGUUUCCUAUGACCACCCUAGCAUGUGCCCCAACCUGAGCAUUUUUUACAUAGUAACUAUGAAUGUUGUCAAGUUGUUUAACGUCCCUGUAUUUAUUUCCCCAUCUAUAAGGAAUAUAAUUAUCUUGAGCAGUUUUAUAAAGAGCAUAAAUAAUGUAUGCAAAGUGAACUGUACAAAUUGCUUCCAGGUAGAUGGAAGUUAUAAUGCCCAGGAAUAACUUCAGAAAAUAGUACCAUGAACCUGAAUGAAUUUUAACCAAAGAAAUACAGGCCUUCUCAAUAUGUAAAAUGUGGUCUUUAAUAACCUUAUGUAGCCAGGACCAGGAUUUCAUCCCUCAGGCCAACUCUAAAACUGCUUUAAUGAGUCAACAGCAAUGCUUUCAUAAUUAUGGCACCAUCCAACCCACCAUGCAAAUCUGUUAAGGUGUCUUUGUUGUUUUGAGGGGUUAGUAGGGUAAUGUGCCCUAUUAUCCAUUUACCAUUAGAAAAGCUGCAAAUGACUUUUACAGUAAAAAACACAUGACAAAAUUAAAAGCAAUUGGUUUGUCUAUAAUUUAUAACAUGUUCACUUAAAUAUAUACAUAUACAUAUACAUUUAAAUGUUUUCAAAACUUUGUGCGUAUUUACAGUCACCUAAGUACCUCUAAGACUUGUGGAUCAGAAUUUGAACAAAAGAUGUAUUUUGGAUGAAUUAUUUUAUAUAAAGAGAUAUCUUUAUUCAUUCAUACCUUGCAAGUAUUUUGCAGUGAAAUUCUUUUUAUGAUAUUUACAUUUUAACAUAACUAGUUUAUUCAGGUAUCUGUUUUCAUUUAUCUGGUUUCCAAUAGAUUCUCCACCCUAGAGGAUAAAAACUUUCUCUGCCAGCAGGGAAAAUCUAAUGCCCCCAAGUUUUGUUUGGUCAGGAAAGAAUUUUAAUACUGAUUAUUGGAAUUUCAGCACAUGUUAAGCAGGGCAGCAUUCUCCAGUGUACCAUUGCUCUAACAAUCCCUGUUUCUUUACUCCUUACUGGUAGCUUCUUCGUCUAUAAAGAUUUUAUUUUGCCAUCUUUGUCCUUCACCAUCACCAGAGUAUUCUCAAGAGUUCUAACUGGCUCCCCUAUUAGCCUUAUAUACACUCUGACAUGUCCUUCAGGGUCCUUUAUCUCCCUUUCAAUUUUGUUUCCCCAGGAAGGAAAAGGCAAUUAGCAUUUAUUGAGGAUGUAGUGCUUUGCAGACAUUGUGUUGUGUGUUGCAUUAAUUUACAUUUUUUGGUUCUCAUGAUAAUCUCAUAUUUAAAAAAUAAACAGAGGUUAAGAGAGUUUAAGGAACUUUGUCCAAAGUAGUAAUUGAUAAAGAAUUUAAACCAGGGCCUCCCUCACUUCAAAUCAUUUACUUUUUCCACUAUCCAAGUGGAGGAACAAUUGUGGUAGAAAUCCUAAGACAUAAAGAAUGUGUGAGUGCAGAGUAGAAUCAAGACCAUGUGAUAAACUGAACUGAUCAUGUUGCAUAGCUCUCACAUUGACGUUAACAAGGAAAUAAAGUCGGACAAUGGACAAUUAACAACAUACUCAGAAAACACUGUUAUAAGUACAUUUUUUUAUUUUUAUGAAUUAAUUUUUAUGGCCACACCUGGGCAUAUGGAAGUUCCCAGGUGAGGGGUUGAAUAGGAUCUGCAGCUGCAGAGCCUACACCACAGCUAUGGCAAUGCCUGAUAAGCCCAAUCUGUGACCUAUUCCUCAGCUCAUGCAAUGCCAGAACCCUAACCCACUGAGCGAGUUCAGGGAUCGAACCCACAUCUUCAUGGGCAUUGUGUUGUGUUCUUUACCUGCUAAGCCAUAAUAGGAACUCCUAUAUUUUUUAAAUGAUGGAAAACUAUGGGGUUAUAGGAUAAGUAGUUUAGAGAGGAAAAACAGCAAAUACACCAGAAAGCUCAAGUUCUUUGAGCUUGACAAAGAACCAAUGAGAAAGAGUAUAUAGGAAGGCACUUUCAGCCAACAUAAAUGGCUCUCUGAAGGCAGCCUGAGUCUGUAAAGGAAUUGAGAACUAAAGAUGCUGACAACAUAAAAUGUAGUUCAGGAUACCAGGCUCCAUUGACUUGAUAUGCUUUUUAAUUUAAGUACAAGUAACUAAGAAUGAACCCUCUGAGAACAGAAAACUAUAAAAUUUCAGCAUGCCUUUUCUCAUGGUUAUCUAAAAAUGCCUCUUUUUCUUUAAGAUUUUUUUUCUCAAAUCAUUUUUUUGUGCCGAAAUAAUAUUAUUUGUAACAAGUUUUUUAAAUGACUUGAGCCAUAUAUAUUGUUGCCAUGCAAAAUAUAGAUGUAAACCUGAGAAAUUAACAUUUACUCUUCCUUUCUUUUAACAACCAUGUAAUGAGCACCACCAGUUUUAUGCUGGGCUACCUCUGUGAGACCCAUAAAGAGGAAUAAUGAAGCAGCCAUUGAUCACAGGAGCUAACAAUUCAGCAGGGAAGGCAACAAGCACAAAUGCACACAGUAUCUACAGUUGUUACAAAGUGUACUUCAUGAGCGGUAUUGAGAAAUGGGGCUAAGAAAGGGAAAGAUCAAUUUGAUUUUGGAAUAUCAUGAAGAUUUCAUGAAGUCAGUAGAUAAAGCAGUGUUUGUAGACAAGCACAAUAGAAGACCAAGAUUUAAUCUGUUCUCAUUUCCUAUUUGCUGUUUAAAUCCCUAUACCUCAUUUGACCUUUCUCAUUUGUAACAGGAGAUUUAAAACUUUUAUCUUAAGGACAGAUUGUGUACCUAAAUAUAAAAGACAAAAAUUAAGGGGUUUAGGAAAAAAUUGCAGGUGAAAAUCUUUGUGAUCUUAGAAUAAGAAAAUUUUCCUUAAACAUUACACAAAGAUGAUAAGAACAUAUUAAUCUUUGGCCUUCAUCAACCAGUAAGAGAGUGGAAGACAAAAUGAACAGACCAGAAAAUGUGAAGAUACUGGUGAUACUGUUUCUGAAAAGUGACCCAUAUCUGGAAUAUUUUUAAAAAAUCCUACAGGAUUGAAUAAGGAAAAGACAUUGAAAAAUAAGUGAGAGACUUGCCAGUCACAUCACAAGACGGGAUGCCCGCUUGCCCCAUAAACAUGAAGAAUCUUCUACCUCAUUUAUUUUUGGAGAAAUGAAAAACAGAAUGACAGUAUAUGUGGUUUUACUAAAAGAGUGGAAGAGACAAGAAACUUCCAAAAGUUGAGGAUAUGGAGGAAUUAGAAUUCUCAUGCACUCUCUUUGGGAGUAUAAAUUGAUAAAACCACGUUGGAAGCUGUUUCACAGUUUCCAAUAAAGUGUAAGCUUAUCCUGUGACUCAGCAAUUCCAGCAUUAAGGAUAUACCGUUCUUUGUUUUCUAUUGCUACUGUAACAAAUAAGCACAUACUUAAUGCCUUAAAAUAACACAGAUAUUCCAACACAGUUCUUUAGAUCAAAAGCCUGUUCAGGUCUCUUUGGACUAAAAUAAAGGUGUCUUAUGUUCCUUUCUGCACACUCCAGGUUUGGGUACUUUCUGAAGACAUUCCCAACUUCUAGACCCUUUCUGCUUUCCUCAUGUCCUGGCCUCUUCCUCUAUAUUAAUGCCAGGAAUGUUGGAUUCUCUCUCUCCGUCUCUUUUGGUCUUUCACUCUUUGCCUGUCUCUCUUUGUAUCUUUAUGUUUCUCUCCCUCUAUCAGUCUCUCCUUUUCUCUCUCUGUUUUUCUUCCUGUCUUUCUCAUCCUGUUUUCUCUCUCUGUAUUUCUCUUUCUCCCAUCUUUCUCUCUCUCUCUUUCUCUGGCUCUGUCUCUCCCUCACUCAUUGUCACUAGGAAAGUUUUUCUGCUUUUAAAGACUCAUGUGAUCAAUCAAGCCAUUAACCCCAUCUCAAAGUUCUUGACUUACCCAGAUGUAUAAAGUUCUAUUAGUCAUGUAACAUACCGACACAUUUGAGGAUUGAGAAAGUAGAUAUAAAUUUCAAAAACAGGCAAAAUUAGUCAAUAUAUCAGAAACCAUGAUAGGGAGUACCCUCUUGGAGGAUGUGAUUUAUGACUGGAAGAGAACAUGGAUGGGGCAAUCUUCAGUGGUGAUAGAAUUGUUCUGUUUCUUAUCCUAGGCACUGGGUAAAUUUGUUUAGUUUGUGAAAAUUAUGUGUGUUAGCUUAAUUACUACAUUUUAAAAAUCUGUUGUCCUAGCUUCACGGAGCAGUAGAUAUAAUAACCAAAUUACAUAGCAAUAUCAAAAAUUGUCUUUAUUAGACUCUACUGUUUCACAGAUGUUCUAUUAAAUGUGUUUCUGUUCGCAGAUAUUAGCCCCAUUUAACAAAAGAAGGGGCUGAGAAUCAGAUGUGUAUUAAGUAGCAUAGCUAAUAAAGGUCAUCAGUACCUUGACUUAAACCAAGGCUCAUACUUAAAAGCCUUUGAGUUUCAUUCUAUGACAUUGGGAUCAGGAGAAUCUCUUAGAUCUGUAGAAUUCGUGGCAAGCCUGGAAUGUGGAUAGUCAAUACAAAAGCACUCUAAGAUCUAGAUAUAUUAUAUGAAAAUUAAAAAUGCUAAGAAAGUCUAAACAAUAAUGCAGAUGUCAUUCAAUUAUUAUUAAGAAAUUUAAAGACAGCACAGUGUAUUCAGUGGAAAUAUGAAAAGACUCAGAGUCUGAGGCAAUAACUCAUUUGAGUUUAUCUGCCUCUUUUAAGCACCUUGCCUCCAUUCUCCCGAUUUGAUUUGUUUAACCUCCAAUUGAAGAACUCAGCACCAUACAGGCCAUAGGUUCCUAAUCCAUGUAGUAAUUACUAUCUGUCAAAGACUCUACUACCAGCAAAUGGAAGGCUUUCAUGGCUCUCAUAUUUCCUGACCUGAUGAGAACUGGAUCAGAAGCCUAUGGUCUACAUGGUACCACAUAGACCUUUCCUAGGGUUGUUCGUAUCAUGGCUUUCCCCUAGAGCUAGUGGUGAUAAGAGAGAAUGAGGGCGAGAGUGAGAGCAAGAAAGCAAGAGAGAAAGAACAGUCAAAUGCCUUUUGUAGCCAGUCUCGAAAGUGACAAGUCACCACUUCUGCCAUAUUCUCUUGGCCACACAGACCAACUCCAGUACAUUGUAGGAGGGGAUUAUACAAAGUAUGUAGACCAAGAGGAGAGGAUCACUGGGAACCCACUUGGAGGCUUGUUAGUCGUUAUUAUGGAUGUAAUAUUUACAAAGCAAACAAACACUGGAGACACUAGCAGGCAAUAUUGGGUACUAUUAAAAAUACAGCAUUUGUGGAGUUCCCAUUGCGGUGCAGCUGUUAACAAAUCUGACUAGGAACCAUGGGGUUGAGGGUUCGAUCCCUGGCCUAGCUCAGUGGGUUAAGGAUCCAGCAUUGCCAUGAGCUGUGGUGUAGGCUGCAUGGCUCAGAUCUGGUGUUGCUAUUGCUGUGGUUGUGGUGUAGUCCAGCAGCUGUAGCUCCCAUUCAACCCCUAGCCUGGGAACUUCCAUAUGCCAUGGAUGUGGCCCCC
rnacentral:lncRNA from 1 species